GAAGGUGUAGCUCAGUGGUAGAGUGCAUGCUUGGCAUGCACUAAGUCCUGGGUUCAAUCCCCAGGACCUUCA
rnacentral:tRNA from 1 species